rnacentral:tRNA from 1 species
UGCUUUAGGUUCAGUGGUAGAAUGCUCGCCUGCCAUGCGGGCGCUCCGGGUUCGAUUCCCGGUCGAUGCAU